GACGAACGCUGGCGGCGUGCCUAAUACAUGCAAGUCGAACGCAGUGGGGACGGGUGAGUAACACGUGGGUAACCUCCCAUCAGAGGGGAUACCACUUGGAAACAGGUGCUAAACCGAUACUGAUGGAUGAACCCGCGGGGCAUUAGCUAGUUGGUGAGGUAACGGCUCACCAAGGCCACGAUGCAUAGCGGAGCGGAGAGGAGGGUCGGCCACACUGGGACUGAGACGCGGCCCAGACUCCUAUGGGAGGCAGCAGUGGGGAAUCGUCGGCAAUGGAAGAAAGGCUGACCGAGCAACGCCGCGUGAGGGAAGAAGGUUUUGGGAUCGGAAAACUCUGUUGUUAUAGAAGCGGUAUCUAACCAGAAAGCCACGGCUAACUACGUGCCAGCAGCCGCGGUAAUUC
rnacentral:rRNA from 1 species